rnacentral:rRNA from 1 species
CCUACGGGAGGCAGCAGUGAGGAAUAUUGGUCAAUGCUCGCGAGCCUGAACCAGCCAAGUAGCGUGAAGGAUGAAUGCCCUACGGGUUGUAAACUUCUUUUAUAAAGGAAUAAAGUGAGGCACGUGUCCCUUUUUGUAUGUACGUUAUGAGUAAGGAUCGGCUAACUUCGUGCCAGCAGCCGCGGUAAGACGGAGGGUCCGAGCGUUUUCCGGAUUUAUUUGGCUUAAAGGGAGCGUAGAGGGGUUGUUAAGUCAGUUGUGAAAGUUUGUGGCUCAACCGUAAAAUUGCAAUUGAUACUGGCAGCCUAGAGUACAGUUGAGGUAGGCGGAAUUCGUGGUGUAGCGGUGAAAUGCUUAG